CGAACGCUGGCGGCGUGCCUAAUACAUGCAAGUAGAACGCACAGUUUAUACCGUAGCUUGCUACACCAUAAACUGUGAGUUGCGAACGGGUGAGUAACGCGUAGGUAACCUGCCUGGUAGCGGGGGAUAACUAUUGGAAACGAUAGCUAAUACCGCAUAAUAUUGAUUAUUGCAUGAUAAUUGAUUGAAAGAUGCUAUUGCAUCACUACCAGAUGGACCUGCGUUGUAUUAGCUAGUAGGUGAGGUAACGGCUCACCUAGGCGACGAUACAUAGCCGACCUGAGAGGGUGAUCGGCCACACUGGGACUGAGACACGGCCCAGACUCCUACGGGAGGCAGCAGUAGGGAAUCUUCGGCAAUGGACGAAAGUCUGACCGAGCAACGCCGCGUGAGUGAAGAAGGUUUUCGGAUCGUAAAGCUCUGUUGUAAGAGAAGAACGGGUGUGAGAGUGGAAAGUUCACACUGUGACGGUAUCUUACCAGAAAGGGACGGCUAACUACGUG
rnacentral:rRNA from 1 species